rnacentral:rRNA from 1 species
GACAUAGGUGGCAAGCGUUAUUCGGAAUUACUAGGCGUAAAGCGAGUGUAGGCGGACGAUUAAGUCCGAUGUUAAAUCUCCAGGCUUAACUUGGAGUCGCAUCGGAUACUGGUCGCCUCGAGUGGGGUAGGGGGCAGCGGAAUUCCCGGUGUAGCGGUGAAAUGCGCAGAUAUCAGGAGGAACACCGAUGGCGAAGGCAGGUCUCUGGGCAUUAACUGACGCUGAGGAGCGAAAGCAUGGGGAGCGAACAGG